rnacentral:lncRNA from 1 species
UUAUGUUUUUAGAGGUAUCACAACUUCAGUUGGGAUUAGUCACUACCUUGCAACCUUUUGGGUUUUAAGCAUCGUUAUAUUCUAAACAGUUAACACUACCAUAUCAUCUCUACUAUAGAGACAAUCAAUUAGAUUACAAUAAUCUAAUCAUUCAUUAAUAAAGAACAAUGUUUUGUCAAACAAAACAUUUAUCCAUUUACCAAACGGAAUUAAGUUCCUUUAUUCAAUUGGAAUGUAAAGACAAUCUUUGUUUUUCCAUUUUCUUUGGUAGUUCAUAUGAGGAAGUAAGUACUAUCUGCUUUCGCAGAGAUCUAC